UACGUAGGGUGCAAGCGUUGUCCGGAAUUAUUGGGCGUAAAGAGCUCGUAGGCGGUUUGUCGCGUCGAAUGUGAAAUCCCGGGGCUCAACCCCGGGUCUGCAUUCGAUACGGGCAGACUAGAGUUCGGUAGGGGAGUCUGGAAUUCCUGGUGUAGCGGUGAAAUGCGCAGAUAUCGUUUGGAACGCCGAUGGUGAAAACAGGUCGCUGGGGUUGUGCUGACGCUGAGACACGAAAGCCAGGGGAGCGAACGGG
rnacentral:rRNA from 1 species